rnacentral:rRNA from 1 species
UACGUAGGUGACAAGCGUUGUCCGGAUUUACUGGGCGUAAAGAGCGCGCAGGCGGUCGUUCAAGUCGAGUGUGAAAGCCCCCGGCUCCAACUGGGGAGGGUCACUCGAUACUGAUCGACUCGAAGGCAGGAGAGGGAAGUGGAAUUCCCGGUGUAGUGGUGAAAUGCGAUAGAUAUCGGGAGGAACACCAGUGGCGAAGGCGACUUCCUGGCCUGUUCUUGACGCUGAGGCGCGAAAGCUAGGGGAGCAAACGGG